AUUGAACGCUGGCGGAAUGCUUUACACAUGCAAGUCGAACGGCAGCAUAGGUGCUUGCACCUGAUGGCGAGUGGCGAACGGGUGAGUAAUACAUCGGAACGUGCCCAGUCGUGGGGGGUAACGUAGCGAAAGUUACGCUAAUACCGCAUACGAUCUAAGGAUGAAAGCGGGGGACCGUAAGGCCUCGCGCGAUUGGAGCGGCCGAUGUCAGAUUAGGUAGUUGGUGAGGUAAAGGCUCACCAAGCCGACGAUCUGUGGCUGGUCUGAGAGGACGACCAGCCACACUGGGACUGAGACACGGCCCAGACUCCUACGGGAGGCAGCAGUGGGGAAUUUUGGACAAUGGACGCAAGUCUGAUCCAGCCAUUCCGCGUGUAGGACGAAGGCCUUCGGGUUGUAAACUGCUUUUGUACGGAACGAAAAAGCUCUUACUAAUACUAGGAGUCCAUGACGGUACCGUAAGAAUAAGCACCGGCUAACUACGUGCCAGCCGCCGCCGUAA
rnacentral:rRNA from 1 species